rnacentral:sRNA from 1 species
UUUUUUUAGCACAGUAGAGAUAGCAGUGGUGUAACUUAUGUUGGGAGAUCAAUUUCAUUCUUUUUAGGAGUCCUAUUAGCUGUGUUACAAGAUUUGGAGAUUGUUCUGCUAAAAAAUUCUCAAG